CAUAAAAAAUGAAGACCUUGAAGAGUUGAAGGAAAUUGGGUUAUGGAACAUUUGGCACUGUCUAUCAUGGCAAAUGGAGAGGAAUAGAUGUUGCCAUCAAGAGAAUAAAGAAAAGCUGCUUCACUGGCCGAUCAUCAGAGCAAGAGAGGCUGGUUCAGGUCUGAAUACUUUGGUGAAAAUGAAA